UCUGUAGGUGGCUUGCUAAGUCAGACGUGAAAUCCCUCAGCUUAACUGGGGAACUGCGUCUGAUACUGGCAAGCUUGAGUGCAGGAGAGGAACGCGGAAUUCCAGGUGUAGCGGUGAAAUGCGUAGAUAUCUGGAGGAACACCGGUGGCGAAGGCGGCGUUCUGGACUGCAACUGACACUGAGAGACGAAAGCCAGGGGAGCAAACG
rnacentral:rRNA from 1 species